CCGUGCUCGGCGCUGCGACCGUGUGGGCACGUGCUGUCGGACAAGGCGAUCAAGAACCUGCGGGGGCCAGUCGGCGGCAGUGGCGGUGGCGGUGGAGGUGGGGGCAGUGGUGCAGGAGCAGGCGGAGGAGGAAGAGGAGGAGGAGCAGGAGGAGGAGGAGCAGAGGUUGGCGGGGGCAAGGCAGCGGCAGCAGACAUGACGUGCCCGGUGUGUGGGCAGGUGUACACGAGCACUGUGCCUAUCAACGGCACGUCGGAGCAGGUGGUGGUGCUGCGGGCGGCGCUGAAGGCGGCGGCGGCGGCCAAGGCGGCCAAGCGGGAACUUGCGGCUACAGGAGCUGCAGGAGAGGAGGCGGGGAGAGGAGGCUCGAAGAAGCGCCGGAAAGGCGAGAGCGGAGAGGCUGCUUGAGUGGCGGUUUUGGGCAAUGCAUGCAGGACUUGGCGUUGUUGGCUGAAUGCCGCAGAGUCCUCGCAACUAAAGCUCGGAAGCCUGCCGGAAGCCUCAGGAGCCUAACGGGUCCUGUCUUGCCAACGCCCCUGGUCCCUGCUACGGCCAGGUGCCAACCUCCCCAGAUCUAUGUACUAUGUCCUAGGCGCAAACUCGACACAUUGCUUCGGCGUGUGGGGACGCCGCGUUGGCGAGAGCCACGGAUGGCCCUAGUACACCAUGGGGGCAUGUCGCAGGGCCUGUAUUCUCUGGAAGCUGUAGAGCUUAGGACAUUGGAGACAUGCUGUAUUGUAAAGGUGGUGAGGGCGGUAGGCGCCGCUGUGCACAGUUGACAGAAUGACACCGACACGCCUUAGCACUGCAACGCAAGCGCCGGUGAUCUCAUACGCCGCCAGCGGUCCUGCCUGUCACCUGGCGCCACACACCGAGCAGUUAGUCGCCCCCCUCCCCUGGCGCUCUACGCUUUACUUCGAGAUCAGCCACCAGUUUAUGUCGGGGGAGGCCUCCCCUUAUUACAGCUACCUAAAUUAGCCCAUGAGCCCAGCUACCGAGCUGUAGUGGUUGGGAAAAGAUAUGGGCAUGCGGCGUUGCCAUGCUGUCACGCGGAGAACAAAGCAGAGUAAUGGUGUGUGUGUGUGUGGGGGGGGGGGGGGGUUGGGGGGGGGGGGCGGGGAGCGAGGUCGGCGUCGCCGAGCUGGCACCUCCCGCCAAAGUUCGCAACUGUGCAUUUCUGCAUAUAUCAACGUUAUGCAUCGAUACGUCUCCUCGUCAUCUACGCGAAAGCUUUCGUGUUUGUGAUCGGUCGAGUUGGCUUUCAUGUGCAUGUUCUAGUGCGUUCAGACAGCCUUAUCUGUGCUACCUGUGAAUUGCGAUGUAGGUUAUAGCUACGCGCAUUUUCGCGCCUGACAAUGAAGCGCAGUUAUUGGCCUCGUUCAUACGCUGCACUCGCUCUCGCGCCCUGGGACCAAGAUCACGUAUAGAGGAAGCUAUGAUCAUUCGGCUAUGUCAAUGCGUUCGGCCGAAAUCGCGCUGUACGCGACGACGCACAGGAUGCGUCACACUUUCCAGAGGACCCGUAGAUAGCUGGGCUAAAUAAUUACGACAGCUCCCGCUCCCCAUACCUAACAUGAGCAAAGGCUCUGCAAUGGCAGAGGCGUACCGAGGCAUACCGAGGCCAUUCCGGGACACAUCACAGACGGCUCAAGCUUCUGGCAACGCAUGUCAAUGAAGCGCUAUGUACCGUACAUUGCUGCGUGAAUGUUUAGCGGCAGCAUGCCGCCGCGCAAUCCUGACUGCUUCCGUAGGGGUGCGCCACGCGCCCCUCUCUGCCGUGCCGCCGCCACUCAACGCCGCGGCAGCGCACACCUCGCUAGCUCUCCUGUGCCCUCGACCAUGCGUUUAACAUUCGCCAUAAAUGAAACCCCCAGGGCUGCAGCAAUAGCCGCGCCGCACCGUUGUUGUGAUGUGCAGUACGGCGCUGUGCUGCCUCCUACCCGCCUGCGUCCUCAACGCUAUGGCGCGUAGCGCAAACCGGCACCACUCUGCUUGCAUAGCGCGUUCCCACACUCUCUGCCAUUGCCACACUCCCGCCCCGUCCGUCAUCAGUAUGCAGCCCCGCGCUGCUUCUGGCAUGGAGGCGGUCUUUCCCCCGAGUCUCCAUUGUUCACAGGCUUCAGAGGCUCCCAGCCUGUUCCCUAACUCCCACUGCGUCUGCGCUUUCUCGAAAUGGGGAGUUGAGGAACUGACUCGGGCCCCACAGCUGCCACCGCCGCCGCCUCGGGGCCAGAUGCUUGCCCGGCUCCCGCUCCGCCGCCGUCACGGCCUGAACGCCGCGCGCUUCCCGCUUCCCGACUUCGCUCCGCUGCCGCGCUCGCUGCACCGCCCCCCACGCCAUCGCCCGGGGGCCGGCGCCCCGCGCGGGCCGCCCCUCACAACACACGCGUGUCCAUGAUCCCUGCCUCAACUCAGGAGGGCGGUACCAGCCAGUAAGGCAUGAUCUGCCGCCCUAACCGGUAGGACUCAAUCUGCAUCGAGCAAACGGGCAGGCAGGCAGGCAAAUAAACAAGAAGCAUCGUCAUCAGCGUCACACGUUGUCAGGGUACGCACGCCCACGGGACGCCGCUCAUCCCAAUGCCCUCCACCCGUCGCCGUACUCAAAAACACUACGGCUAUUCCCACGGGCCGCUCCCCUCCCCCAGCGCCCCCCCCCCGCCCGCUCCUCCCUCAGCUCCUCCGAACCCACCUGCACAACGCGCAUCUCCUCCGGGCUGGCCAUGCUGGCCUCCGCCCCGGCGUACAUGCAGCGGAACGCGGCGGGGUCGUCCGGCGGCACCUCGCCGCAGUCCAUCACGUCCUCAACACCCACGCCCACGCCCGCGCCCGCACCGAACAGCCCCGGCCCUCCAAAGGAGGGCGGCGAGGGCGUGGGCGGGAAGAGCGUCCGCACGGGCGUGGGGAACACGGGCGUGGAGGGCGCCGCCGCUGCGCCGGGCAGCCCGAACGCCGGCGCCUGUGACGGCUGCGCCUGCGGCGCCUGCUGUGCCUGCUGCGGCUGCGCCGCGGCGUUGGCGGUGGCGGCGGCCAGCACGCUGGUCACGCCGCUAGCCGCCAGCGUCGUGUGGUCCUGCCAGCGCAGCUCCUCCAGUGAGGUGUUGGGGUCGGGGUGCCGGAUGCCCUCAGCGGUGGGGCUGGCGGCCGCGGCGCCCGCGGGCGAUGCCGCGGGCGCGCCCACCGAGCCGCUGCCGCUGGCGCCGAGCGCCGGGGAUGGCGAGACGCUGGCGCCCUCCACGGCCACGGAGUCCACGGGCCGCGUGAGCCAGUCCGGGGGGAUGUUGGGGGUGACGAUGCCUUGCAGCGCGCACACGUACGCCCAGUCUGCGUGUGCGGAGGGAGGAAGGUAGGUGAGGAGUGGAGAGGAGAGGAGGGCGGCAUCGUCGCGUGUAUGCGGUCAGGUCAAGACAUGCGGGGCAUGAUGGUCUAUGCACAUGGGCCACACUAUAGAGUCUAUGCUCAUGGCACACGUAGGGGACUGUUGUGUGGUGCGCAUACCGUAGCCGCCCUUCUAGCCUAGCUGCCGCCGCUGCCCCAUGUCCCAAGGUCCCAUCACCCUAUCAACUUACGCAUCUCGUCCGCGGACACUGGCCCCGCGCUGGUUAGAAAGGGGUCCGCGCCCACGUGCUUCAGGAGGCUGUCCUUUGGCGGGGCCGGCGCCUGGACUGGGGCGGGUGCCGAGUAGGCAGGCUGCACUGGCAGCGAGCCGACGCUCCCGUUGCUGCUGACGCCACUCCCAACGCUCCAUGUUGACUGCGGCUGUUGACUAAAUUGCGCCAUGCUCGUGGGCUCCGAGCGCUCGCCGAAGGCGGGAUCGCCAGCUCAGUCCCGAGAGGACAAAGCGAGCGCGAGCCUAAAGCAGUGAAUCUAGCGCUUUAUGUAUGAUAGCCAUGUCGUGUAAAGUAGCGACUUGGCAGAGCAGAGGCGAAAGAACUCUUCAAAAUGUUCUGCAGGAGCAACACCCCUCUCUCACUUGGACCCGAGCACGUAUGGCUUGUAAUUUUGGACUUUGAUUGUGUUGCAAUGUGCUCGAGUGCCGAAGCUAUACCUUGCGAAGGUCACACGUUCCGUGUGCACCCCGGACGACGUUCCUUGCAUGCCCCGCCCGCUCUGCCGCCCGCUCGGCCCUCCAGCUGCACCAGGAGCUCCCAAGAUGUAACACGUCCCAUCGCCAAGAUAUCCUAUCUUGAUGAGUGCAUAAUGAUCUGUGGGUAUUGCUAUGCUGGCUUGGGCCACAUGCGGCACUGUUGAAGGCGACAUGCCGACAUUUGUGACCAGGCACAUCCAGCCAGGGUGGAAGUGACGGCCAGGUGCCUACACCAUAAACGCACUGCCUAUUCCCAGGCCCGUUGCCUACCUACCCUAUCUUCGCGGCUUCUCCCCCUCACGGCCCGCGUACGGCGGGCUGAGCAGGAGAAGGGACCGGCGGGGGCAGGCGGCCAUUCCAGGGGCAUCCACAUCCGACGCGGCCUCAAUCUGGUGGUGAUUGGGGGCGGCGGCAAAGACAAAAGAAGGACCGGGGCAGAGGUGCACGCCAUGCAAACAGUGUGCGUGUGGGGUAGUUGCGCUGGGUGCAGGCGAGGUCCGCCAAACCAAGGGAUGCGGUCACAGGCCUGCUGUGUCACGGGUCAUCGAGUUGCAUGCAAUAGGUCACAGUUCCUCACAGCUCAUAACAUAGGGUAUACAGAUCAAAAGAUAUGCCAAGCAAUCGCACGGCCCUACCCCGAACCCCUGCAGGGCAGCCGCGCAGGGCCGAGGUAGCCAAGGCAAGAUCGGAACGCGAACGCUCUCAAGAGCAUGCAGCCGGGCCUGCCGAACCGAGGAGGCACAAUAGCAGCAUCCGCGACAGGGUCGACCUGCUCGACGUGCGAGGGCUGGACGCAACGACGGCACUGCACCGACUCGCUGACCACGUGCACCGCUUGGGCCAGGCCGAGCCCGACCAGGCGACCCCAGCAGUGGGCGCGGCCGCUGCCCCAGCAGACAACACGGCUGCCGCCGCCGCCGCCGUCGCCGUCGCCGCCGCACCAGCAGCAGCAGCACCACCACCACCACCACCUCCCGGCGGUGUGCGGCUGCUACGCAUUAUCGUGGGGCUGUCCGACCCGCACCUGAAGAGGGCGGUGCUGUCCUGGCUUCGGCUGCAGGGGCUGCAACACGAUGCGUCGGAGGCGGCAGCAGGGCACCGGCGCGCACCAGCCCCCCAGCAGCAGCAGCAGCAGGCUGCAGGCGGCGCGGGGUCAGGCGGUAGCGGGGCCCAGCCGCCAGCUGGGCCUUUGACGGCGGGGGCGACGAACGAGGGCCGUGUCGUGGCCUACAUACCGUGGGGUGUGGGUGCUGCUGGUGCGGGUGCUGGUGCUGGUGGCGGUGGCGGUGACCGUGAUGGUGCCGCUAGCAACUCCGAGGCCUCCAGCGCCGCCGCGGCACGGCACAGCGCCAGCACCAGCGUUGCAAUUCUGCCACCCGUACGGCCGCUUGGCGUGGCGUCCUCGGCCGGUCAUGGCGGUGCAGGCCCGCAGCCGCCGCCGCAACGCGCAGCCACUGCGCGCGAUGGCCGGCGGCGCCGCGGCUACAGCAACCCUACCGCCAUGUCGGGACUGGAGCAGCACGAGCGCUCCCUGCAAGCGGCCUACAGCACCUUCAGGGAGCGCAACAUCCAGACCCGGACGCCGUGCGUACUGGACGUGUGCGGCCUGGACCCAAUGACGGCGCAGCAAGUGCUGGAGGACCGGGUGCACCGCCUGCGGCGGACGAUGAUGCUGAGGAUGGCGCCGGCCGCUACUGUGGCUGGGAGCGAAAGUGGGAGUGGAAAUGGCAGUGGGAGGUCGGGCAUGGAAGGAGCCGCCGGUGCUGCGGACAGCGGGCAGGCCGCUGGCGCCGCUGCCACACCCUGCAUGAGGCUGAGCAUUAGCAUGGGGACGUCGCGCUCGGAGCUGUUGAGCGCGGUCACUUCGUGGCUGGCGCGGCGGGGGCUGGAGUAUGAGGUGUGCGGAGAGUGUGUGGUGGCCGACGUGUGUCUCGAGGAGCCGCGGGCGGCCGUGGACAGCGCUGGCAGCUUUGGUGACGCCGGCACCGCCGCCUGGCAGCGCGCGUCCAGCACUAGCACCAGCACCGGCAACACGGGGGCACCGGGGCGGGUCGGGCGCGAGGACGGAUCUGCCUCUCGCACGCACGCGCCGCCUCAGCCGCCGGGAGCACCAGCAGCGGCACGGGUGACGAUGGGUUGCUGCUGCUCCUGAGGAUCUGCGUUGGGGCUCCCGACUAUGAUUUUCAAGCGGUAGUUCAGGUUCCGUAGCAAACCCCUGGUUUGCGGAGUCCUUUCCUUUUGGUUGUUGCCGCAACGCGUGAGAUAAGGGCGACGACCGUUGCAGAAUUACGGUGUGACCACAGGGUGACUGUGCGGAUUGAAUGUGGGCAGUGUCACGCCUGCCCUCGGCUUACAGCGGUUUAUUUCAUACGAGCUGGUGCAAACUCAUACUUUGUGUACGAUUUGUCGCGGCAAGGCACGACGCCCAUUUGAAUAGGCGAACGGCUCGGGCGCGAAGUUGAUUGUGCGUGUGGCAGUUGGCCAGCGCAUUGUCAUUGGAUGGACUGCAGGGAAGCGAGGUGACGCGGAGAGCUCUCUGGCUUGACCCCCCUGCUGAUUGAUGAUCUGGUAUUCUGGUUACUCUGGUCAGGCCGGGCAUGUUACAAGACAGAAACGACCGGUAAUCACUCGACCGUGACUCGCUCGCCCACACCUUUUGCUGAGCCACACAUGAGUACAUGGCAGUAUAAGCAAGUUACACUGCCACUUCCAUUCCGCCAGCCGCAUACUUUGGGUGUAGGCCGUGUAGCGACGUUUGUGUGUUGUUAGGUUGCCUACACACAGCCGACAGCCGCCUCUCGUCCUGGACUGCACCCAGCACCACACCGCAAGCAGCUCCCAUGAGAGGGCGUGCGUGUGCAUGUGCAACAAACACGCACAACAAAUGACAGCAACGGCUGGUCCUGCCGGCGCACACACACUGCCGCAUUGUGGUGCAUACCAUGGCUACAGCGGGGCAGCGUGGAAGCAUUGCGGCACCGUGCGAGCCUACACACACACACGCACACACACUGGCCGCCACCCUGUUUACCAGCAGAUCGCCAGCAGCAAUACAAGCAGUACCGCCCAGCCACUCCGCGUUGUACGCCUCACGUGGUCCCCACCACCUGCAUUGCUCGCGCGCUCCCAAGGCAUGCUCAGUGCUACCCCCGCCCCAUCAUUUACAGCUCUGUCUUGCAUGGACGGGCUAUUUCCCUCCGCGUUCCUGGCCUGCUCCACGCCGCGCUGGCUCCCCGCCCGUCAGCUGUGCCGCGCGCCCCUGCUGCGCGCUCCUGCGGCCUCUGGUGUAAGGCUCACUCGCUCACACCGCCACUCGUACCAAGCAGCCCUUCUCUCCUGCAUUCUCAUCCCCGCUCACACACGCAUACCCCACGCCCACAUGUUGAACAGGCCGCUGCUCAUGCGGUCGCCCGGACCAGCGCCGCCGCCGCCUCCUGCUGCUGCUGCUGCUGCUGCGUGUCGCCGCCGCCGCCCCCCGGCAGCAGCAGCUCCAGCUCCGCCAGCGCCAGCCGCAGCCGCGAGGCCUCGUCAGCACUCAGCCCACCUGCCGCCACCUUCCUGGAGCCCACCGCUGAGCCCGGGCCGGACUCCUGCUUCUCCUCCUUCUCCUUCUCUCCCUCCUCCUGCCCCUGCUGCUGCUGCUCCGCGGCCUCGAGGGCGGGUGCCGCCGCCGCGGCCAGGCCCUGCAGCCAGGCGGCGCCGGGCGGCGGCAGGCGCAGGCCGGCAAAGCCAGUGGCGGCCCGCAGCAGCUCGCUGGGAGUCAUCUCGGACCUGUGUGCGCAAGCGCGUGCGGGUUUGGGUUCAUGGUCAUGAUCACCGCUGAAACGUACUGCCAGACCAAGCAAAGACCCAACUGACAUCAAUUCUCGCCCCGGACCUAUGGUCUAAACAUAAGCCACAAAGCAUUAGCAUCAGCCGCAUCCGCCCACGCACCAGCGCUGCCCGCACGCCGCCGCCAACGCGUUCAGCUGCGGCCGGCAGCCCUCCACGAACUUCUUGCGGUGCUUGGCGAAGCUGCACGCCCACGCAACAGCCGCCAGGCUGCCCGCGCGCACCGCGCCGCCGCCGCCACUGCUACUGCCGCCGGGCGCGCCUGCUACUGCCGCGCCCAUCUCUUCCAGGAAGCGGCCCAGAAUGUGUUGGGCGUAGGAGCGGUCCAGGGGCGCGUAGCGCAGCUCGCGGACGGUGGUGGCGAGCAGUUCCUGGGGAUAGGGGAGAUGUGGGAGGGGAGGUGCGGGGGUGGGGUGGGGGUGGUUGAGGGUGUGGCGUGUGGCGUAUUGGGGGUUUGGAGUGUUUGGCUGGGGUUUUGCGCCGCGUGGCUGCACAUGAGCACCUAUCGGAGCUGGACCAAAGUGCCACGUCAGCCACACGUCCGGAUGGUCAGCGCGUGUCCAAGGACCAGGCCCGGCGAGGCGAGGCGACCCCACCACCACUGCCACCACCACCACCACCACCAGCACCAGCACCAGCACCACCACCGCCACAUGCCAAUGAACCCCCGUGCCUGCCCUACACCAUACCCAACGUAGCCGCCGCCGCAACCUCCACACACUACACCGGCCUAAACAUUCACCACCACCACCACCAGCCGCCACCCCCACUCACCGCGUAGUCAUCUGCCGCGCUAAGGUCCAGGGUGCGCCGCUGCCCGCCGCCCGGCGCCACAGACAUCCCAGACACCAGCAGCUCCCCCUCCUCCUCCUCGCCCUCCGAGCCGCCCAGGCCGCCCCAGCCCUCGCCGUCGCUCAGGCCGCCGUCGGCGGCGGCUCCGCCGCCGCUGCUGCUACUGCCGGCGCCGCUGCUGCGCACCACCUCUGCUACAGCCAGCGGGUCCAGGCCGAGCAGGGGGCAGAGGUUGCGCAGAAGGGCCGAGGUGGAGGUGGCGGUGAGGGCGUAGAUGGGCACGUCGCGCUUCUUGGCGGCAUUCUUGAUCUGUUGGACGGGUGCGGUGGUUUGGGUGUAGGUGGUGUGGUCGACAGGCGUAUGGAGGAGGCGUCAGGGAGGCAGGGUUGGCUCGUGUCCGUUCGUCGCCGUGCCAAGCCACUUCAGGAGUGCGGCACAGGCGGCCCUGGACGGCAAACCUGUGCCCGGCCUGCGACCGCGCGCAUGGCCCCCAACAAAGCCAUGCUCCCUCCAGCCAUGUUCCCUAAACCACUCUCACCCUCCGCACCCCAGCCAUGUCACCCCACACAGGGCCAAACUCGCCAGGCUCUCCUCCCUCCACACAGCCGCACACACACCUUGGGCGUGUUGCGCAGUUUGCCCUUGGUGCCAAUCACCACAUCCGCCUGAUCCAGAUCCGACACCACCUCAAUCAUCAUCGCACCGCCGCCACCUGCUCCUGCUGCUACCGCAGAGGAGCCCGCCGCCGGCGCGGCCAUAGCGCCACCAGCAGCAGUAGCGGUAGUGGCAGUAGCAGCCGAGCCCGCCGCAAGCGCUGCCUCGUAGGCCUCCCUCCGCAGUAGCCCCAGCACGGCCCGCACACGCGACGCCGCCUCGUCAUCCAUCACCAGCAACGCCCGCAGCCGCCAGGGGAAGGGCGACGGCGAGGCGGAUGAGGAUGGCGCGGAUUGGGAGGACGAGGACAAGGAGGCAGAGGAAGAUGAGGAGGCGCCAGCACUGCCGGGACCCCCUGCUGCCGCACGGGCGUUCGCUACAGCCACCGGCGCCGGCGCGAAGCCGCUGCCACCGCUGCCGCGCUCCGUGCCGGCCGCCCCUCUCAACGCCGCCCCAAGCGCCGCCGCGGCUGAGGGCGUGGCAAAGCUGCUUGUGCCGGUGCUGGUGCCGGCGCCGCUGGCGCCGCCGAGCGCGGCGGGGCGGGGGCCGGCCGCGGCGGCUGCGGCGUCCUGCUGCUGCGCUGGCCACAGCAGCGGCUCCAUGGUGCGGCCGGACUCGUCCGACCACCACUCAUUGGUGGUGGUGGCGCCGCUGGCGUCCAUGCGCCGCACUGGCAGGGGGGGGAAAGCGGUGCAUGAAAGGCGGACUGGUUGAAUUAAUAUGUUUGGGAGUGCCGGGGGCAAACGACGCACUUUCAUACGGCUUCAUCACGGCUUCAUCACGACUUCAUCACGGCACACACACAGGACACCAAACGCCGGCGCACCUGUCCCCAUGUAUGUGGCGUGGGUGACUUCACCGCUGUCGUCCAGCAGCCGCACCUGGCCCGCCGCCUCGCCGCCUGCGCCGCAGCACAGCACAAAGGGUGCCAAUCUGCGCCUGCUGCACAUGUAGCACUCCGUUCCCCUCCCCACUUGUUGUCCCAUGUCGUCCUACUCGGAUGCCGUUUACCGUUCCUCGUCAAGCCGUAGCAAUUUACACCGACAAGUACAUCCCGUCCUCCUCCCCUCCGUCCAUCAUGCCCAGAUACCCUCUCGCCUCCCUCCUCUUCCUUUCCCCAUAGUUUUCUACCUGUUGCCCUUGCUUUUCUCAUACGGGAUGACGGAAACAACCUCCUCUCCCCAAACACCCCAGUGCCGCCACGCACCCGCCAGCAGCGAGUCCACGGCCGCCGCCACAUCCAGGUGCACACGCCACCGGCCGCGCUCCUCCAUCUCCACCGCCACGUCAAAGGUGGGCGGCGCCGCGCGCUCCAGGAUGGACUUCUGCACGCCGCGCCGCUUGGCCUCCUCGUCGCCCAGCGUCACACUCUGGAUGCCGCCCACCUGCGUGGAGGAGGAGGAGGAGGAGCAGCACGAGGAGGAGGAGGGCCGUGUCAGGUAGCUAUCAGUAGCAAUCCCGAUUAGACUGAAGACCGUACAGUAUGCAGUUGCCGGCACAGGGGGUGGUGGUUCCAGGCAGUCCCACUCAGCCUACAGCUAUGCCCAAACUAACCCCUGUCCCAACCCCCUCCCCUGCCGCCCCGCCCCUCCCACCAGGUCGGCCAGGGUGGGGUUCUUGAUCACGUUGUCCAGCUGACGCCCGUGCGCCGUGGCCACCAGCUGAACGCCCCGCUGCGCGAUGGUGCGCGCCGCGCCGCACUCGGCCAGCGUGGAGAUCUCGUCAAUCACCACCACCUGCCGGGCACAGGAAGUGUAAGGGAGGGCGAAGGAAGCACUCUCGCUCACCGCGCUGGAAAGAUGCAAGCACAGACCCACUCACCACUUGUGCAUUUCCUAUUUCCCAUACACGCCAGGCCUGCCUGCUGUGGCAGCGUUCAGUUGAUGGUGGCUGACUCGCCAGCAGCACAGCCGGAAGUAGGCCGCAUGCUCAUGGCCCCGGCCAAGACCCUAUUCCGGCGCCCCAACCGACCCCGAAUGCCGGCCCCAUUGCAGCCCACCUGGGUUUGGUUUAGUUUGGGCUGGUAUCUACAAGGCCCCUCAGAGACUACUCGUGAGAAGCCCUACUGAGCCCCAGCCCCAGCCAGUGUCCCAGCCCCAGCCGCAGCCCCAGCCGCACCUGCGGCAUGUGGUUCUCCACCGCCUCCACCAUCACCGCGUGCUGGGCCUCAGGCCGCGACACCUGGGCGCGCAGGCGUGCAGGAUGUGGCGUAGGUGGCCGGUGGGACAGCAGUGCAGCAGGGCGGGAUUUGGCGAGCAGAGGAUGGCCCCAGUUUGGUGGCCCGUGCCGAGCAAGAAAGGAAACACACGAGCCGGUUCAUGUCCCGCGGGCGUGCCGGGGCCUCUAGGGCUCGUGUUUUAGCGACUUGAUUUGUGAGUGUAUGGACAAUUUCUGGUGGUGAAAUUGCCCUAUGCUCACAAAUCUGUCGAAGGGUAAUUUUCGGCGUCCUACUCAGUGCUGUGCUGCGUGCCGUCGCGUCUGGACGAUGCUACCGAAAAUUGCUAUCUUGUCGGAGUUUUGGGCACUAGGCCUGGAGCCCGUUCCGCGGGGUCGGGGACCGGGCUGGGGGCCUUGUGGCGCCCCGGGUGCGCCGUGUUCCUCCUGCUUGUCGCGUUCCUCUGAUUUGCGCCAUAACCUGUACUGACUUUGGGCCCACCCUCCCCAUGCCGCUGCCCCGCGGCAUCGACGUCCCCAUAAGCUGUGCGUGUACUUGGACCUGGUGCUACAUGGCCGCAUGAGGGGAGUACCUAGCGUGUGCCGCCUCCGUCACACCGUGGAGUGGGGAGCGGGGGUUUUCCCCCGCCAGCCCAUGGUGCUGACACCCCAUUUGCAUUUGCCGUCAUGCAUGCGCCCAUGCCGUCCCCCACCUGUUUAUUUGCUCGUGGUCGCCCACCCUCCGUCUCUUUCCUAAAUCGCGCAACCCCUAGUAUAGUUCAUUGGGCUGGGACUGGGCUGCAUGUUUGCUCUUGCUCGUCGCGCGCCGCCGCGCUAACAUGUUCCUUCGCUCUUGUUCGUGACACUCCCCUGCUGCCGCCCUGUGCUCUGUUGUUUUCUUAUUCGCUCGUAGGUGAGAAUUUCAUCGAGGAUUGGGCGGGAGCUUGGACUUAGCGGCCAGGAGUAGCGACGCGGAGCUAGGAAUUGUAGGAGUGCCUGGGCCUCACGGUACCGUGAGCACAUGCAUGGGUUUGCACCCUUGAGAGCGUGUGGACACUAAUCCCCCCUCGAGGUUAGAGUAGCGGGGGUUGCGCGAUUUCCGGUUGGUAAGACCGGCGGCUCACCGCAGCAGGUAUGCGAGGUAACUUCAGGUAACAUCCGUAAACCGUCGCUUUGCUGCAUCGCAUACACUGUCUUUGCGCAACGUUUUCCUUGUGCUCUUUAACACACACACACACACACACACACACACACACACACACACACACACACACACCUGCAUGCGGCGGGCGCCGCCGAUGCUGGGGUGCGGCACGUCGCCGUCGCCUCCGAUCUCAUUGCUGGUGUCCACCACCACCACCCGCCGGGCAGCCUCGUCCGCGGCGAUACGGCACACCUCCCGCAGCGCCGUGGUCUUGCCCACACCUGCGCCAGCACGGCGGCAAAACACGCGUGUGAGUGUCUCAGCAUGGGUGGUGGAUCGGACAAUGGCGCUGGUCCGGGUGCGCCCGCUCUCGUGCCGUGCACACCCAUACACCUCACCACACUGCUCGCGCCCGCUGUCCCCCACUGCUGCAACCCCUGUGCCCGAAGCCUGCAGACUUCACAAAGACCCGACGCCCCACAAACACACCCAACAUUCCUCCCCGCACGCCCCCACACGCCCCUUCCCCCCCCCCCACCUCCCCUCCCCCGCACCUCCCCUCCCCUCUCCCCCCCCACCUCCCCUCCCUCCUCCAUCCCCGCACCCACCCGGCCUGCCCAGCAGCAGCACGCUGCGCCCCGCCAGCACCAGGUCGCGCACCAGCGCCGCCGCGCCCGGCACCGCGCGCCCCACGCGGCAGGUCAGGCCCACCACACGGCCGCCGCGGUUGCGGAUGGCGCUGAUGCGGUGCAGCGUGGAGUCGAUGCCGGCGCGGUUGUCGCCGUCAAAGUGGCCCACCUGCGGUUGCGAGGUUGUUGAGGUCACCGAAAUGGCGGUUUGCAAGGGCCGGUAUGGCUAGCGACACGCGCCGUGUUUCCAGAGGUAGGUACCCAACCACCCUCCCAGCCCAACACACAACCCACCUACCAUUACCAUGUGCCCACCUCCCUUCCGUCCUCUCCUCCCCUCCUCCCCUGCCCCCCCCUUCAGCCCCCCCCCACCUGGCGCACGGCUGUGUCCAGGUCCUGUGCGGUCAUGGGCUCCGGGCACAGGUCCACGUCGCCGUGCGGGAAGCGGGCCGAGGGCGGCCGACCCAGAUCCAUCACCACCUCCACCAGCUGGCCGGCGCAGGAGGGAGGGCAGGGGCAGGUGGAAGUGUUGCGCGUGUUUGUGUGUGGAGGGUGUGGUGCUCGUGUGAUGUGACCCCGUGGAAUGAGCGGGUCAGGUGGCUGCUCCGCUGCCCAUGCCGAUGACAGCCUAGCCUCCCGGAAACUAGCAUCGCUGGCCACGCCCCCACCCUCAUGCCGACCCUACAGUGCCCUGUCCUGCGCCUCUGCAACGUGUUCCCUGCACCUCCACUCGCACCUGCUCGAUGUCCGGCCGCGCCUCCAGCACAGCGCGCACCCGCGACGGCAGCAGCCCCAGCAGCAGCCGCAGCUCCGGGUCAAUGUGCGCGUGGGAGUGGGAAUGGGACAGCGCCGCGUGCGGCGGGUGCUGCGAGCCGGGUCCUUCUUCUGGGUUGCUGCCUCCAAGCUGCUGCGCGUGCUGCGCGGAGCUGGCAGUCCUGAAGGCGCCGGCUUCGCGAGGGCCCGGCGCUAGGCCGGUGGGAGCCCCCACGCUUAGCGACAACGACGUGGCCGGGUGGGCAGCCUGUGGCGCUGGCCACAGGCCGCACCCCGACGACCCCGACCAACAUCCUCGUGGACGUCUGUGUGAAGAGGAGGCGCUGCCGUGGCGCGAGCCCGCGCGGCCUUGUUGCCGAUGCAUGGCCUUUGCCCCCGCCUUGAGUGAUGUGUACUCAAUAAUCUAAUAAACCGCUCGCAUAAGAUAAAAAGUUAUAAUCACAGCAGCCCUGGCUCACGAACUUUCGCGUGUGUGGCGAGAAAACCUUGUUGCCCAAGACUCGCCCGGUCGCUCUGAGGGGAUCCGAUAUCGACUAUAUAUUCAUUAUCAGUACAUCGAGAUGAAAACCAGGCCAGGUCGUGUUGGGCGAUCCCGCGCAAUUUUUUUGAUGGUCGGUCCGCCUCAUGCUUUAGCUAUGUCGUAAUGUCGCAUCCUUUUAUGGAUACACUACGUAUGUACACUUCCUAAGCUAACACGAGCCUGAUGCGAAGAGAAUUUGGUGCUCAAACCACGAGCCGUUGACUCACAGCCCCUUUACGCCUGCAAUGCCUUGAAAUCACUUGUCAAAUGUAGGUAGCGAUUUAGUAAAUGGAGCUGGUGAGCGUGGACGUGCCGGACGUCCGCAUUGCUCUGCAGCGGGGCGUUCCGUUGCUGCUUGGGCGUGGAAACGCGACGGGUAUCACUUCUGUGGCUGUCAGUCGCUCGCACUGCCACGUGCUGUGGGUUGCGGAGCCAAAACGCAGCGCACGCCUGGCUUCGGCACUCGGCGCAGACCCCGGGGUCAGCCAUCUCGAAACCCACUCGCGCCAGCCCGACCUCGGCAGUGCUCCCCAGCAGCAGCACCCCGGCAAUCGCGAGUAUGAGGACGUCGUGCUGACCGUGCUGCACGCCAGUGGGGCGGCCGUGGUGCGCAGGCCGCACGCGACGCACACUUUCGCCACGUCACCCACGAUGCCACCCCCACCAGUAGCCGGCGCAGCGGCAGCAGCAGCGGCAGCUGCCGCCGGCCCCCAGCUGGUGCUGCUGCCCGCUGGCGCCAGCUGCCAGCUGUACCCGGGGGAUGUGGUGUACCUGGAGCGCCGGGACGCGCGCCUGGCCACAGGGUUCAGGCUACAGCAGCUGCAGCAGCCACGCAGCGGUGGUGGCGGCGGCGGCGGCGAAGGCGUGGCGGCCACCGCUGCCGCCACACCCACGCCGCAGUCCCAAACCUGGUCCCCGCAGCAUCAGCAGCAGCAGCGGCAGCAGCAGCUGCCGCCCUGGGCGCAGCAGAGUCCGCGUGCCCUCGUCUUCACAGCGCAUGACCCGCCAGCGGUGUCAGCGGCAGCGGUAGCCGCUAGAGCAGCUGCUGGUGCGGCGCCGGCCACCGCUGCCACUGCCGUCCCAGCCGUCACGGCGGCAGCGCCAUCGGCACCAGUUGCUGUGCUUAGCCCCACGCCGGCACGUGCGGUGUUCCCGGCAUGUGCAGCUGUGGUUGGAAGCGGCGGCCCGGCCUCCGCCACAGUCAGACCCGGCGACGGCGGUGCGGCAAGCACCAGGCCUGUUAGAGCAGCAGCGGGUGACGGCAGUGCAAGGCCCACUGCUGCAGGCCUGCCGCCGGGGCAGCAGCCACCCAUGAAGCAAGCACCGCAGCCUCCAGCCGCCAGUUUCGGCCCGACGGGCGGCCAGCCGACUCGCGGUCAUGUUAGGGACGCUGUAGGAGCUGGGGCAGCUGCGAGCCAUGCCUUGCCGCAACCAUUGGUUGACCCACAUGCGCAACCGCGUCAGGACAGCAUGACACGCCACUCACCACCGCACAAGCGACCCCGUCUUGAGUCGCCAUCGCUACACAUGUCGCAACAGUCACAGCCACACCCAGAUUCUGCGGCGGCAAGAGAAGCUGCAGACACGGAUGCAGCUGCGGCGGAGGCAGUGGAGAUUGACGCGGAGGAAGGGGAAGUGGACUUGCGCGGGCUUUGUGUGGAUGUGGGCACGGCCUCUGGGGCGGGAUGGGCAGCACGGCGCCGGCGUCAGGACGCCGACGCAGCAGCGCCGCCGACUGGUGAUGGCGGCGCGGUGGUGCCGGAGCCCACACCGAGCCUGGCAGUGCUAGCAGCGGCGGCAGCAGCGGCGUCCGCAGCGGCGUCAGCAGCGGCGGCAGCGCCGACUGUGAGCGGGCUACUAGCGGCGGCGCCACUGGAGCCGUCAGGGUCAGGGGCACCAGUGAAAGGAGACGGGACAGCGGCAGAAGCCGGCGCAGCUGCAGCAGCCGGGGCGGGCCAGGUGACGUCGGGCGCGACGGCGCCGGAGGUACUGGCGCCUGUCGCACAAGCCAACAAGGCGCCAGCCGCAGCAGCAGCAGAGGGGGAGGUGGAGAUGUCACCAGAUGUUGGGUUGGGGGCAGAAGUGGAGGCAGCUGCAGACCGGGCGGCUGCUCCAGAGCCAGCCUCUGUCUCGGAAGCCGCCGCCGCUCAGGAGUCACCGGAGCCUGCUGUGGCAGAGGGGGCCGCAGCCGAGCCGGCUGGGCCUCUGGCAGCGGAGCACGUGCAAGCAGAAAGGGGGGCCGCAUAUGAGGGCGCGGUGGAGCAAGCGCCUUCAGAGGAUUGUUCCAAGCCAGCGGAUGCGCCGCCGCUUUUGAGGCCGGGCCCGGCGGCAAUGGCGGAGCCGCCAGCAGGGCCCUCAACAUCACCACCCCACCAGGCGCUGCCGUCGCCGCCGCCGCCGCCGUCACAGUCGGCACCACAGCCGCCUCCAGCUCAGCAGCCGCCCCAGCCGGGCGAAGCUACUGCGGCCGCAUUUGGUGAUGGCAGUGGCGCCGUCGCCGCCGCCACCGAGGGCGACACGGCUGCGGCGGGAGGCGCCGGCGGUCCCCGCGCCAGCGGCGGCGGCAACGGCGACGGCAGGGUUGCGGUUGUAGAGGGUGGCAGUGCUGUGCGGGCUGGAGGCGAGGGGCCGGCUCCGGUGCCGGCGACUGUGUCCAAUGCCCCUCCAGUCAGCUCAACAACAGCAGCCGUACCAGCACCAGCAGUGGCAAUAGCGGCACCGGGGCUGGCGGCGACGCCCGGUCGUGCCUUCUUGUCGGGGUGUCGCUUCGUGCUGUGGGAGCGCGGCGCGGUGCGGGACAUCCUGACCAAGGUAGGCGGGCACUGGAGGAACCUCCGGGUCUGAGGUUUUGUGGGAUACACGGGCACCGCGCCGGAAGGGUUGAUGGGGCCACAGUCACGAUGGGCGUAGUCAUGUGCCCAUGGCACGAUUGGCCGCACUACAUGCAAUGGACGUGAUCCUGUACGGUAUGCAUGUAUGUGUGUGCACGUGUGUGCACAUAUGUGUGUGUCUUGCAUGCGCAGGUGAAACGUGUCGGCGGCACGGAGCAGUACAGUGUGUGCGGCUCAACCACACACGUCGUGGCGAGGUGGGUGCGUGGGUCGCUGUCGGUGCCCCGGCUGUCAACGUCGGCUCGGAGUACGACUGCGCACUCGCUACAUUGGCUCACUCAGCACCUAUUUAGUUUAUCCUUAUCUCUAUUUCCAUCUCGGACUGCACACAGGCGGGAUCUGCCGGCGGCGGAGGCGGCGCGCCUGCUCGCGGCGUCGGACCUGGCUUGGAAUCGGGACGGAGGUGGUGGUGGCGGUGGUGGUGACAUUGCCUCAGUAGGCCAGCACUCGCUGCCGCUGCCCCCGGGUGUCCACUUUGUGACGCCGGCCUUCCUGCGGGACUGCCUGGCCGCGGUGAGUGCCGUACCGAAGAGGCGCUGCAGGCGGCGCGAGGGGAGGCGGGGCAAGGGGAUUGCAGGGCGUCCGCGUGCAGCGCUGCGGACUGUUGGGAUACGACAUAGAUGCCAUACUUGGUUGGCCCAAAACGACCCCCGGGUGCCGGCGGCAUCCUACCAUCCCCUGUUUCCUCUCAUGACGUCUGACAAGCACACCUUAUGCAAUUUAUUGCCCUCUUCGUCCCUGCCCCUUGCAGGGCCGGCUACUGGAUCCAGACCCCGCCGCCGGACACGUCGUCACCCAGCUCACCAGCCAGCAGCAGCAGCCGCUGUCGCCGCCGCCGCCGCCGCCGCAGCAGCAGCAGCAGCAGCAGCAGCAGCAGCCUGAUGAUACCGUGCCUGCGGCCGGGCAGCCCCCGCCGUUGCAGCAGCCCUUGCAGCAGCCGGCAGAAGCGGCACCAGAGCCACGACCGCAGCCGCAGACCGCCGCGACAGAAGCGAUGGGAGUGCUGCCGCCUCAGGGCCGGGCGGCGGUCGCGGCUGGAGCGCCGCAACCUCUACAGCCGCAGUCUCUGCAGCCGCGGUCCUCGCAGCGGGUGUUGCCGGGGCCGGAGGACGUGUGCCGCGGGCCGGAGGACUGGGGCGUGGGCGACCGGUGCGUACGUGCGUGCCGGGGUGUGGAGGCGUGGGCGUGGGCGUGGGUGUGGGCGCGCGCAUGCAGGCAGGAUUCGGGCGGGGUUGGGCAUAUCGCACGGCUUGGGACCACGGCGCAGCUUGCGGGUACCAGAGUCCAUGGCCGGGGGCAUCAGUGGAAGGAGGACGGCCAGGCGGCAUGGUGUCGGCUGCUGACACCGCAGACUCUUGAGUUGUCGGCCAAUGCUCUCAAUGCCGGUGCCGCUGCCGCCGCUGUCGCUGUCGCUGUCGCUACUGCAGGUGGAUUGAGCCGUGGGACGACGCGGCCGCGCGGCGCACCUGCAGCAUCGUGCUCGCGCACUGGGCCAAGUAAGUGAAUGGGGCUGCUCAUUAGCUGCUCGUGCGUUUCCGCCUAGCCUUCUCUGCCCCAUGUUGGUAAUGUUCGGGAAUGCCGCUGCUGCGGACCUCCUGCCCUCCAUCCUGCCGCCCCAGGCACUCGUUCCAUACUGACGACGGCCACGCCCUGGACUACCGGGACAGCCUGCGUGAGGCAGCGGCAGCAGCGGGUGCAGGCGCGGGGGCGGCGGGGGGCGCAUGGGUAGCGGCGGGGGCCCUAGGAGCGGGGGCCGCGGGGGCGGAGACGACGCCGGUGCAUACGCCCGUCAGGCGGACGCGAUCUGGCGGCAGCGCAGGCCGUGGCGGCGGCCGUGGCGGGAGCAGGGCUGGGAGUGAUGGCGGCGGGCCGCGUGACACGGACGUGGAGGACAACGACGGCGAUGAUAAUGACGAUGAUUUGGGUCUGGGGGCCAAGGCCGCGCCCGGGUCUGCUGCCGCCGCCAGUCCUGGCGGAGGCCGCGGUGCGGGUGCGGCUGCAGGGUCUGCAGGUGGAGGCGGAGGUGGGAGCGGAGCAGCAGGCGGAGGUGGUGCCGGGCGGCGCCUGUCGGUGGGUGAGGGCGGCUCCUCGCCGGCAGCUGCCGUCUCGACACCGCUCAGCGGCAGCACCACACCGGGCGGCGGAGGUGGCCGCGGCCGGCGGGGCGGGUGGUGGUGGCGUGGCGGCGGCGCAGGUGGAGGUGGAGGCGGCGGGGGGUGGGGACGCGGUGGCGGCUGGAGCGGAGGCAAGGGCAGCGGGUCAGGUGGGCCCCGGAGGAGGCGUGUCGGCGGCGGCGGCGGAAGUGGCGAUGAUACGGAGCAUAGUGAUGACGGCUCCGGUCGGGAGGAGGGCCGGAAGCGGCAGCAGCAGCAGCAGCAGCAGCGACUGCAGCCACCAUUGGCAGCCCAACAUUCCGGGGGAUACGACACGGCAGACGAGGGGGAGACGGGUGCUGGGCGCCAGGAGGCAUUGGCGCGUCAGCGCGGCAGCGGUGGCGGUGGCGCUGGCGGCGAAGCCGCUGAUGAUGAUGGCACCGCUGGCGGCGUUGGCGGCGGCGCCGUCAAUGUCGUGUGCCGGCACGUGUGCUGCUCCGCCCGGCCCUUCUGCAUCCUUGAAGAACUCAAGCACACCAAGUCGGUGAGGCUCCGCCCUGCCGUCUGCGCUGCAAUUGUAUGUUGCCAGCGCAUGCGUGGCUUCCUGGUGUAUCCGCCCCUGUCGUUUCACCCUUUGUCCCGCCGCGAAGCCGCCUGUAACAUCGUUCACCGACAUGCUGGCAUGGCAUGUGUGGGCAACACACGUAUCUCGUUUCUCCAUCCCUCCUCCUCCGCAGCUGUACAUGGGUCGAGACGACCAGUUCCGGAUCAAGGUGAGUGCGGCCAAUCGAGUCGCGACCCCGCUGCCUGGCGGCCCCGACUUGUGCCGCGCUCGCCGGCAUGCAUGCUCCCGGCAGAUCGUGCCCGUGCAGAGCAGGACAUACACCCUGACGUACACCCUCAACGUACACUUGCUUCUUUGAGGACCCAACAUGCCCCGACAGUGCACAUGGCAACGGUGCACCAGAACAGCUCACCCCCCAACACAUUGCCAACUAACAACGGCACACCAUGCCACACGCACCCACGCACCCUGUUGCCCGUCUCGCACCUCUCGCACCUUCAACACGCCCGCCCGCAGGCCAUCGACCGCGCUCUGGCGGUGUGCGCCCGGCUGACUCAGCCGCUGCAGUCGCCCGACCAGGUGCAGCGGCUGGGGCUGGGCGCCAAGACGGCCAAGAAGGUGUGUGUGGCGUGUGGCGUGUGGCGCGGGUUGCGCGCGGGUGGUGCUGUUGUUGAGGGCGGUUGUGCCGGUUGCGGGCGCAGAUAAUGACACCGUCAGUGUCCGUUGUGCAUGUGGUGUGCGUUGGUACUUUGGUCAAUACCUGUCAGCUUCAAGGAAGAUGCAGACACUACUGCCCUGCCGCCCUGUCCUGCCCUGCCCUGCCCUGCCCUGCCCUGCCCUGCCCUGCCCUGCCCUGCCCUGCCCUGCCCUGCCCUGCCCUGCCCUGCCCUGCCCUGCCCUGCUCUGCCCUGCCCUGCCCUGCCCUGCCCUGCCCUGCAGCUGGAGGAGAUCCUGGCCACGGGCCGCCUGCAGCGCAACGCCGUGUGGGAGGGCAGCGAGCUCAGAGCCACAAUGAAGCUCUUCACACAGGUGAGCGAGGGAGAGGGAGCGCCUGCAUGAGGGCGCGGUUUCGUGUGUUUGGUUUCGUGUGUUUGGGGGCCGGCAGGGUGCAGCGCGGCUUGCGGCUGGCGCAGCCAACACUGAGCAGCGUGAGGGUUCAUGGUCGCGGCAGUAGAAAGUACCGCUGUGGAAGUGGGCCCCGCUCCAAUGGCGGGGCGUGUCGUGUGCACACAGCCGCCUAUGGGCCUCCUACGAACAGGCCAUGAGCUGCCGCCACCCGGCUGCCACCUGCCUCUCACCGCCUGCAGGUGUGGGGCUGUGCGGAGAGCACCGCCCGCAAGUGGUGAGCGCUGGUUUCGUAAGCGGGCUGGCGCAGUGGCAACCCAUGGCUGCAACCCUGCUUUUCCCCACGCCAUUGCUGCUGCCGCCCAACCGCAACCACACCACACCGGCGCCACCUCAGGGGAGGCGACAAAUGCGCGCGUAUGUAACAAUGUGUGUGUACGGUAUGUGUGCACACGUUAUGUGUAAUCCGGUGUGUACACGUCCGCAGGUACGUGGGCGGCGCCCGCAGCCUGUCUGACGUGGCGGCCCGGUCCGACCUGACGGCGCAGCAGCGGCUGGGGCUGACCCACUUCCACGACUUCAGUCGGCGGCUGGCGAGGGCCGAGGUGGCGGAGGCGGCGGCCGGGGUCCGGCGAGUGACCCUAGAGGUGCUGCAGGUGCGAGCAUGUGCUGUGCGUGCGCCGGUUGCGUACUGUUUAUGAGUGCUGGUGUGUGUAUGCACGCGCGCGAGCACCCAUAUAGCAUCUCUGCCCGUCUCGCCGCGCUUCAGCCACCUGUGGUCAUAGGACACACCCCUCUCCGUCUUCGCAAUUUUCGCCAGGGGACCUAGCUCACCAUAUCCAUCCUUUCCUGAAGAGUGUAGCCCGCUUUCCCCUGAACCUGCCCUCCCACCGUGGCCCCUCCUCCCCUCCCUCCCCCUCUGUAUCUGACUACGCCUUCACUUCUUGAAUAAUCAUGAAUGUAACACACACACACACACACACACACACACACACACAGGACCUGACGGGCCUGCCUCAGCACGUGGUGGCGGACCGGCUGCACGUGCGCCCCAUGGGCAGCUACGCACGCGGCGCGCCCUCCUCCUCAGACGUGGUGGGUGCGGGUGCGGGUGCGGGUGCGGGGGCGGGGGCGGGGGCGGGGUACGGCAAGCUAUGCCCUGCUGCCCACACCGCCGCGGUGCCGUGAAUAUGGUUGCUGCUUGCCCUCCGUUGGGUUGCUUCGGGCUCCGGACGGAGCUUCGGGAGCCAGUACGGCACGUGGCCUUUCUCAGUCCGGCAAGCUGCACAUAUGCCCAAUCAACUGCCCCUCACCUGCCACCUUCCAUACACACAUGCCACCACCUCGCCUGCCCGCCCGCCAGGACUUCAUCAUCGCGCCCGGCCCCGAGGCCGACACGCGUCUGGGCCCGCCGGUGCUGCUGGCGGCUCUGGUGGCCCGACUGCGGGCGGCGGGGUAUGCCGACCCCGCCUCGGCACACAUGCUGCACACGUGAGUGGCGCCCGCCGUGCAGUCGUGCUACCGUUUCUACUCUUGCUAUUGCGGUGCGUUGGACGUCUCCCACCACACAACGCUCUUGGACCCACACGGUCGCUUAUAGCCCUUCCAACACCCUCACGCACGCACGUACGCACACACGCACACACACGCACACGCACACACACACACACACACACACACACACACAUACACUUGCAGCCGCACCAGCUGGAAGCCGCGGGGGGCGGAGCCGGUGCGCCACCCGGGCGCUGCGGCCGCCUACGGCCAGCCCCGGCCGCAGGCACACCAUCGGCACCACCACGAACACCAGCACCGGCGGCGGAGCUCGACUGCUGGUGCUUCGCAGCAGGGGCAGGCGCAGGGAGGCGGUCACGACGAUGACCUCAGCGAUGGCGACGACAUGGCGGCGGCGGCGGAUGCGCCGCUGGACCCCAGCUCGCCUGCUGUGCUGCGGCUGGCGGAGCGGUUGGCGAGCGCCAGCAGUGGCAGUGGCAGCAUGGAAGGCGGAGGAGGGGAAGGGGAUGGCGCAGGCGGUGGUGGCAGCGGCGCACCAGGGGCGGGCGGGCGGCUGGCGGUGGCGCUGACCGCUGAGGAGCGGGAGCUGGUGGCGGCGUCGGCACGUGUGGAGGACAGCUGCACGUGGCUGGGUGAGAACGGCUGGGGGCGGGAGGGGUCAGGGGCGGUGGGAACUGGGUCACCGUGCUAAGUUCACCGUGCUGGCGGUCCGUGUGAUACCGUACACAACGUGCCAGUGCAUGACUGCAUGCUCCACAUGCCAACACCACACUCCUCCCACCUACCACCUCACGGUGUCGUAUGCAUACGUGUGUGUUGGCUUUGCGCUUUCGUGUGCUGUCUGCCCCACGUGUCGACCAGGCGUGUGGCGUCAGCCGGUGAGCGGGCGCUACUGCCGAGUGGACGUGAAGGUGUACCGCCGCGCGCAGCUGCCCUUCGCAGUCAACUACUUCGCCAGCGGCACCGACUUCAACAGGGCUAUCAGGUGCGGAUAAACACCAGAAUUGAAUGUGGAUGGUCUGGAUUAAGGGUUAAAAUGGUUGGGACGGGCCGCCCAGCCAUCAAAGGACAAGACGAUUGCGCUGGGGUGCGGCAGGCUGCAAUCAGUUGUCCUACUGCUGGCACCGGAGGGAGUUUGGUCCAGGUGCUUUCCCUCGCGCCCCGCCCCCCGGCACAUGCUGUCGCAGGUACUACUGCAACACGCCGCUGCCAGCCACCCGGGAGCUAGCACGGAGCUACCACCCCCAGGUGCGUGGGCGUGAGCGUGGGCGUGAGUGUGGGCGUGGUGGGCGUAGGCUCCGCCGUAGGAAGCGUGGGGUUUAGAGACGUCGCCUGUGCCCUGUGCGUGGUGGUUGAUCUGGGUCAGAGGUUGCCCUGACCUGUGUCAAGCUCAGAGAGAAAGAGGGGGCACCCAGAUGCGGUAGUAGGAGCAUUCGUACCGCGAAAAGAAACCUGAAAGAGGAGCCCCGCUCUUGGCGUCCUCCUUGCUUGGACUCCCUGCAGCCACAACCGCCACCACUGCCAUGCACGUUCGCCACGCCUGCCAUGCACCUUCGCCACGCCUGCCACUGCUUCUUACUACUGCCAUCACCACUGCUACUGCCACCUGCUUCCUCCUCCUCCGCUGCCACUGCUACUGCUACUGCAGGCCGAGGCGUUCCGGCUGUCUGACCGCGAGCUGGCGGUGAUGCGGCGGGAGCGCGUGGCAGCGGGGGGCGGGCCCAUGGGGCCGGACGGGCGGCCGGGGGUGGUGGAGCACUUGCUGGCGCUGGUGCCGUGCAGGUGAGAUGGCGGGGGAGGGGGCCCGUGUGCGUGUGCGCGCGUGUGUGUGUGUGUGUGUGUGCGCGCGUGUAUGUGUGUUUGUGUGUGUGUGUGUGUGUGUGUGUGUGUGUGUGUGUGUGUGUGUGUGUGUGUGUGUGUGACGCAGGACACUUGGAGGGAACACACGGGGGCGUGUGCACUCAAGGCGGGGCGUGUGCAGUUGUGUGUGGAGGCUGUGUCGCUGGCACGCGCUCCAAGCCACUUCCACUAGCUUACUCCUGUGCUGUGUGCAUCCAUCUAUUUACCAGGUGUGAGACGGACAUCUUUCGGGCCAUCGGUUUGGACUACGUGCCGCUGCACAUGCGGGACAUCCUGGCGGUGGAGUGAUUGCGGUAUUGCGAUUGCGUUUGGUUGCGAUGAUACUGGUAUGGAAGAAGGGUCCGAGAGAAGCGGGAGCGGGAGAGAAACGUAGGGGAUGAGAGAGAGAGAGAGGCUGGGUACUGAAAUGCUAGAGAGAGUCGGAGCGAACUGGCAUGUGGGGUAAGGAACGCGUGGCGGCAGACGCACGAACUGCGUUGGGCAGAAUCCUGGCAGAAUGGACAUGCAGAAUUGUGUGACGGGGAUGCGGGCUGCUGCAGGUACUGAUAUUGUCGCUUGGGUGUAGCAGGAUAGUCGGCACAAGUCACAUCCAGAUGCCCCAGGGCGUGUUCCGGUUAUAUACUUUUGUGUUGUAGAUCUUCCGAGUUCCGCCCACAUUGGGGGAACCAUACAGGAAGGCUGUGCAUGCAUCCCAAACUUCAAGAGUUCAAGAGAUGAAGAGAUUGCAUCCACACUGCUCUGCCUUUGACCGUCAACAAGACAUCAUCCUCAAGAUCCAGCAUUCCAGCAGCGCCCGGAUAAUGGAUCCUGGAUGUAACCUACACGUCUGCCUGAGGCCCUCUCGGUAUCCAGGCUCGCUGCUCCCUCAGCCGCCUCCACCGCCAGCUUUGCUGCAGCGCCCGCGACUGCCGCGGCGAGGGGCUGGGCGGCCGCAGCAGCCCGCCCUUGUAAAACCGGAUGACACAGGCGCGCAGACACAGGCGCAGCACCCACUUCUUGGCCUAAUAACCGACCAAGCAACCCAAGAUUUGUACCACUCGGUCCACUCCAUUACGUACAUUCCUGCAGAUUUGCCGUGGGUUAACCCCUUCCUCCUCCCUCUUCUCUGGCCCGGACAGCAAGUCCAGUCUCUACCCUAAACCCAAAACCCAGUCUCCCCCUGCAACGGUCCGCACGCACAGGAUCCCGCAUUGAGAACAGUGCCUGCCCAACAGAGUCUACCCAACCCAUCCGGCACGAACUGUCCCCUCCCACCCGCCUGCACGGACUGUCCUCCACGUACCACCCAAUCAAUGCGCAUAGCACCCUCCAUCGACGUUCAAUGACCCAUGCUGGCUCGGUCCUGAUUAGUCGACUCAUACCGCUAUUCCUGUGCGCAUGGGUCCCUUGCUACGUGCGUCCCUGCUGCAAUGCUGUGCAUUGACUGGACAAACCCUGGCGCUCUGCACAUCAGCGGCCCCUCACCAUCAGCCGAACAACCCAAACCGCACACAGGCGGCUGAACCACAAUAUCAUCCACACGCCGCCUCUAGCAGCUAUCGCACACGCACCAACCUAAUGUCCACAAUCACAGCGCCACAGGGACAUACAAGCACCCUCAACGCCGGUCCUUCAAGCCAUUUAUGCUCGUUCCGUAACCAGCAUACCCUACCAUAUGCCACAGCGCACCGACGGCAAAGCGGCGCUGGUGCCGGCAAGAAGUCCCGAGCCUAGUUGCCAACUUGUGCAGGCCAACAAUAAAUGACGUCGCCGUCUUGCACGCCCGGCAGCUGAGCGACUGUGAUGUUAUCCAGCACGCAGAUCCCGUCGUAAAGGAACCGCAGCGUUGUAACGUCCAGGCCCUUCUUGUUGCAGUAGGCGUCGAAGACUUUCCCCACAAGUGUUGACCGCUUCACCUUGAAGUGCACCUCCGAGCCACCCUGUCCUUUGAUAAUGAUGUUGAUCCUGUCGUCGCCAUGCUGCCCUUCCGCCGCCGCCUCCAUCUGCCCCCCAUUGCCGCUGCCGCCUGCUGGCGCCGGCUGCGACAGGGCAGUGGGCGCGACAGCCGGGCUGCCAGCCUGCUCACCCUCCACCACAGCCCCGCCGUCAUGGCGGCCCCGCUUCGCCACGGGUGCCUCGUCCCCUGCCGCCGUCCUGUUCUCCUCUCGCUGCCGCCUUGCCGCCGCCGACACACCUGCUGCACCUCCGUUGGCUGCUGCUGCCCCUGCGUCGUGGCGUGCCGUGGCACCGGCAGGCGCCUGCUGCUCCCGCUCCUUGCCGUUGCUGCCGCCGCUGGUGCCAACUGGCUUCACUGUACCAACGCCGGUAAGAGCCGGCGCAGGAGCAUUUUGCCUGCUGUUCUGCUGCUGCUGCAGCCGCAGCGAUGUCCGGCGUUGCUGCUGCUGCUCGGUGGCGUCGCUGGGCGGCGCUUGGCUAGCGCCCUGAGGUCCCUCAGCAGCGCCGUUCGCCACAGCAGUCCAGCCUUGCCCCGCCGCCCUCUGCGCCUGCGCGCCGCUGCGCCCCGCCGCUGCCACCGCGGCCGCUGGCUUCUGCUUCCCCUCCUCCCCGUCCGACACUAGAUCAGCUUCCUCCCGCUGCCGCCUAGCCGCUGGCUCCUGCUGCGCCCGCGGCUGCGCCUGCUUCACGCGGACGCUGCCGUUGAUGGACACCGGGUGAGUGGCCUCAAAGCGCUCCAUCAGCGCGGACGUCAGCAGCGCAGGCCUGCAGAGGGGUAAGAGGGGACGGGAGCCAGACGUAAGGCUUGAUACAGUUACGCGGCCACAACGCAACUGUAAGCAUAAUGUAAGCUACUCAGCGGUUUCAAGCAGACCGCUGCCAUUGCACAUGGCGCGUACACAGGCGCCCACCUGCUUGUGGCGCCGCCCUCUCCAGCCGCCGCUGCUGCCGCCGCCGGCAGCUGCUCCGCCGCCCCCUGGGUGAUGGCGGCUGGGUCCACACACGCGUUGGGCCGGAAGCACAGCUCAUACGCCAGGCUCACACGGCCGCUGCCGGCAGUAGCAGCUGAUGCACCCGCACCGCCACUGCCAGCUACAGCCACAGGCCGCACGCGGUGCAGCGCCGGCUGUAGCAGCCCGCCCAGGGCGUAUGACAGGCUGUAGCCGCACAGCACCGCCACGCGGCCAGGGCCCAGCGGCACGUCCACCCACGCACCAGCCCCAGCGCCCGCCCCCUGUCCCUGCUGUGGCAGCCGCACCUGCAGCCCCUGCUCCUGCGCGCUGGCCACCAGCGUGAGCACGCCGCGGUCGUGGUGCGGCGCGAAGGCCAGCAGCUGUGCGGCGUGCGGGUCGGGGCUGUAGCGGGCGCAGCGCAGCAGGCUGGCGCUGGCCUGGCCCAGCAGCGGCGCGUCAUCCAGCAGGCCCAGCACACGGCCCGAGUGGACGUCCAGGCCGGGGCUGCGACACAGCGCGCACAGCAGGCCGCGACACAGCCGGUCGGCGCGGGAGGAGGCCUGCACGCAGUCAGGGACAACGAGGGAAGAUUGGGCACAUUCAGAGCCCAGAGCUUCAGCGACUAGUCCUAGCGUAGUGGUCUUCCGAUGCGUGCUACUGGCAAGCAAACGGGCCGCAAGCUCACCUUCUGCAACGCGGCGUGCUGCGUGCGAGAGCGGCCCGAGCCCCACGCAGGCGCACCGGGCCGGACUGCGAGCAGCUCCUUGCCCGGCCGGACUGCGUAGCCCUCGCUCGGCACAGCGCUCUGGGCGCCUUGCUUCACAGGCUCAUCAGCACUAAAGAAAUCGGCGCAGGUCGCCAGCGCCCUCGCGAAAGCCGAGAAGUCUUCAACAUCGACCAGCUCCAGCACUGCAACGCCCUGUUGCUGCAGCCGAGUCCAUAGUUCAUUACAAAAUCUGGUAUAGGCGCUAGCACUGUCGGCAUCCGGCACAAGCUCAUCGAGGAAAAGCAGCUGUCGCUGCACCGACAGCGGUGCCAGGAGUUGUGGUGUCAUUCUGUUUUACAGCAUAAUUGCCUUCAUAAUCGGAUAUGCAGAAAGCAAUGCAUAAAAGAGCAAACUCGGAGCGAUUGCAGGCUGAUGUUGGUCCAUCACACGGUCAGUACAUCGUCCUUACGUCCCUACUUCCCCGCUCCUCACCCGCCGUGCCCGCUCCUCCUCCCAAUUGCGUCCUUGCGUCAGAUAACUCUUCCGCUUCCUACUCGAGCACAGGCGGUAUCACAGCAGCUGCAAUAGCAAGCUGCAAACACUUAGUUGUGCCAGUCCUCUGCAAGACAGUCCUACGAGCCUCCGCACCACUUCCGCCCCCCCCCCGCCUCCGCCUUCUGCCCGUCCACACUGCUCUGCCUUUGACCAUCAACAAGACAACAGCUCAUCCUCAAGAUCCAGCAUUCCAGCAGCGCCCGGAUAACGGGUCCUGGAUGUAACGUACCUAGCUGCCUGUGACCCCCUGGGUAUCCAGGCUCGCUGCUCCCCCAACCGCGACUGCCGCGGCGAGGGGCUGGACGGCCGCAGCCGUCCGUCCUUGCCGUGUCAAACCCGAUGACACAGUCGCGCAGGCACAGCCGCAGGCACCCACUUCUUGACCUAAGAACCGACCAAGCAACCCAAGAUUUGUACCACGCGGUCCACUCCAUUACGUACAUUCCUGCAGAUUUGCCGUGGGUUAACCCCUCCCUCCCUCUUCUCUGCCCCGGACAGCAAGCCCAGUCUCCCCUACACCGGUCCGCACUGGAUCCCGCAGUAAGAACAGUGCCUAACCCAACAGUGUCUACCCAACCCAUCCGGCACGAACUGUCCCCUCCCACCCGCCUGCACGGACUGUCCUCCACGUACCACCCAAUCAAUGCGCAUAGCACCCUCUAUUCACGUGCAAUGACCCAUGCUGGCUCGGUCCUGAUUAGUCGACUCAUACCGCUAUUCCUGUGCGCAUGGGUCCCUUGCUACGUGCGUCCUGCUGCAAUUCUGUGCAAUAAAUCAGACAAACCCUGGCGCUUGCACGUCAGCGGCCCCUCACCAUCAGUCGAACAACCCAAACCGCACACAGGCGGCUGAACCACAAUAUCAUCCACACGCCGCCUCUAGCAGCUACCGCACACGCACUACUUCAAACUGCACAAUCACAGGGCCACAGGGCCAUUCUAGCACCCCCAAGGCCGGUCCUUCAAGCCAUUUAUGCUCCUUCCCUAACCCGCACACCGUACCAUAUGCCACAGCGCACCCAUGGCAAAGCGGCGCUGGUGCCGGAACGAAGCCUGAACCUAGUUGCCAACUUGUGCAGGCACGCAAUCAAUGAUGUCGCCGUCUUGCAAUGCCAGCUGACCGACGGUCAGGUACGGGUUGAAGCGGCACCCUUUAUUUAUAAACCGCAGCGUUGUGACAUCCACGCCCUUCUUACUGCAGUAGGCGUCAACGACGCGUUGCAGUUGGGUCGUUUGCUUCACCUGGAAGUGCACCUCCGAGCCGUCCAGGUCCAUGACAAUGAUGUUGAUCCUGCUGUCACCAUGCUGCCCUUCCGCCGCCGCCUCCAUCUGCCCCCCGUUGUCGCCGCCGCCUGCUGGCGCCGGCUGCGACAGUGCUGAGGGUGCGGCGGCCGCACUGCCAGCCUGCUCAUCCGCCGCCGGGCCCCCGCAGCGGCGGCCCCGCUUCGCCACGGGUGCCUCGUCCCCUGCCGCCGUCCCGUUCUCCUCACGCUGCCGCCUAGCCGCAACCGCUGCCGCCGCCGGUGUGUUGGCCCCCGGCUGUGCCUGCUUUACGCGGACGCCGCCGUUGAUGGACACCGGGUGAGUGGCCUCAAAGCGCUCCAUCAGCGCGGACGUCAGCAGCGCAGGCCUGGGGAGGGGACGGGAACCAGACGUCAGGCUUACUGCAUGGCGCAGCAACAACUUGCCCUAACAUAACGUAGCCUAUGCAGCGACUACAGGCAGACCACUGCGGUUGCACAGGGCGCGUACAGGCGGGCCUACCUGCUUGCGGCGCCGCCCUCUCCAGCCGCCGCCGCCGCCGCCGGCAGCUGCUCCGCCGCCCCCUGGGUGAUGGCGGCUGGGUCCACACACGCGUUGGGCCGGAAGCACAGCUCAUACGCCAGGCUCACACGGCCGCCGCCGGCAGUAGCAGCUGAUCCGCCAGCACUGCCACCGCCAGCUACAGCCACAGGCCGCACGCGGUGCAGCGCCGGCUGUAGCAGCCCGCCCAGGGCGUACGACAGGCUGUAGCCGCACAGCACCGCCACGCGGCCAGGGCCCAGCGGCACGUCCACCCACGCACCAGCCCCAGCGCCCGCCCCCUGUCCUUGCUGUGGCAGCUGCACCUGCAGCCCCUGCUCCUGCGCGCUGGCCACCAGCGUGAGCACACCGCGGUCGUGGUGCGGCGCGAAGGCCAGCAGCUGUGCGGCGUGCGGGUCGGGGCUGUAGCGGGCGCAGCGCAGCAGGCUGGCGCUGGCCUGGCCCAGCAGCGGCGCGUCAUCCAGCAGGCCCAGCACACGGCCGGAGUGGACGUCCAGGCCGGGGCUGCGACACAGCGCGCACAGCAGGCCGCGACACAGCCGGUCGGCGCGGGAGGAGGCCUGCACGCAGUCAGGGACAACGACGGAUGAGGGGGCACGUUCAGAGCCCAGAGCUGCAGCGACUAGUCCUAACGUAGUGGUCUUCCAAUGCGUGCCACUGGCAGGCGAAGGGGCCGCAAGCUCACCUUCUGCAACGCGGCGUGCUGCGUGCGAGAGCGGCCCGAGCCCCACGCGGGCGCGCCGGGCCGGACUGCGAGCAGCUCCUUGCCCGGCCGAACUGCGUAUCCCUCGCCCGGCACGGCGCUCUGGGCGCCUUGCUUCACAGGCUCAUCAGCACUAAAGAAGACGGUGCAGGUCUCCAGCGCUCUCGCGAAAGCUGAGAACUCCUCAUCGCUGCCUAGCUCCAGCACCGAAACGCCCUGUUGCUGCAGUCGAGUCCAUAGUUCAUUACAGAAUCUGGCAUAGGCGCUAGCCCUGUCGGCAUCCGGCACAAGCUCAUCGAGGAAAAGCAGGUGUUGCUGCACCGACAGCGGUGCCAGGAGUUGUGGUGUCAUUCUGUUUUACAGCAUAAUUGCCUUUAUAGGAAGGUAUGCAAAAUGCAAUACACAAGGAGCACACUUGGAGUGGUUGCAGGCUGAUGCGACGACCCUAAAUGCGGGGCCGAUUCUCCAGAGCGCGACUCAGAAUGUAAAUGUUAUACCAUUGUAAAAAGCUCAUUGCGCUUAAUACAACAAUGCAUUAAUGUCAAGGAGCAUUUGGGCACGCCCUCGCACCCCCCGUCCUGUACACCGCAAGCCGACAACCGCGAUGUAACUCGCUCGGCCUCCUACAGCACUCAGACGACAUUACCAGCCAUAUGCAUAAUGCUGUAGCUGAAAAGUAAAGCUGCGCCAUCGCGUCGGGCAAGUUUGAGUGCAUGACAGACAUCUUAGAUGCUCCAGCACAUCGGCCGGUAUCAGAGGGAGGCCCAAGCAGCGGAUGGGUGAUUAUGACAAUUGGAUAGCCGGAGGAUGCCCUAGUGGGGAAGGGGAGGGCACACCGGCGGGGGAGGUGAAGACGGACGGCAGCGGCGGCAGUACGGCUUUUGCGUGCUCGGACUGCCAUCGCCUGCAACCUGGAGCCGCCCCGCGCCACGCUAGCACGGGCCGGCGCGCGAAGAGCGGGCGACAGGCACCCGCGAACACCACUGCAGACGGGCGGCGGGCGGCGGAUGGCAGGCGAGAUGGAGUAACGUUAUGCCAACAGGUUGGGGCAGCCCGGCAGCAGGCGGCAGCCCGUGUGGCGCCGCCCCGUCCAGGUAGACAUGGAGCCGUGUCAGGAGCCAGGAGGUCGAGCGGCGGGCACGGCUGGGCGGGCGCAAGCGUGGGGAGCACAGGCAGGGACGCGGACAAGCUGUGCCUGCCCCUGCCUCCCCCUGUCCACGUCCCUGCCUGUGCUCCUCUCUGCCUUCUGCCUGUCCGCCUGUGCCUCCCCCUGUCCAUGUCCCACUGCCUCCCUGCCUCUGGGGCUGUGCCCCCUGUCCAUGGACCUGCCCGCCCUGCCUGUGCCUCCCCCUGCCUCCCUGCAUGUGCCCUGCCCUUCCCCACCAGGGCAUCCUCCGGCUAUCCAAUUGUCAUAAUCACCCAUCCGCUGCUUGGGCCUCCCUCUGAUACCGGCCGAUGUGCUGGAGCAUCUAAGAUGUCUGUCAUGCACUCAAACUUGCCCGACGCGAUGGUGCAGUUGUACUUUUCGGCUACAGCAUUAUGCAUAUGGCUGGCAAUGUCGUCUGGGUGCUGUAGGAGGCCGAGCGAGUUACACCGCGGUUGUCGGCUUGCGGUGUACAGGACGGGGGGUGCGAGGGCGUGCCCAAAUGCUCCUUGACAUUAAUGCAUUGUUGUAUUAAGCGCAAUGAGCUUUUUACAAUGGCAUAAAAUUUACAUUCUGAGUCGCGCUCUGGAGAAUCGGCCCCGCAUUUAGGGUCGUCGAGGCUGAUGUUGGUCCAUCACACAGUCGGUACAUCGUCCUCACGACGUCCCUCCGUCCCUGCUCCUCCUCCCAAUUGCGUCCUUGCGUCAGAUAACUCUUCCCUUCCUACUCGAGCAUAGGCAGUAUCACAGCAGUUGCAAUAGUAAGCUGCAAACACUUAGUUGUGCCAGUCCUCUGCAAGACAGUCCUACGAGCCUCCGCACCACUUCCGCCCCCCCCCCCCCGCCUCCGCCUUCUUCCCGUCCACACUGCUCUGCCUUUGACCAUCAACAAGACAACAGCUCAUCCUUAACAUCCAGCAUUCCAGCAGCGCCCGGAUAACAAAUCCUGGAUGUAACGUACCCAGCUGCCUGUGCCCCCCUGGGUAUCCAGGCUCGCUGCUCCCCCGACCGCGACUGCCGCGGCGAGGGGCUGGGCGGCCGCAGCCGUCCGCCCUUGCCGUGUCAAACCCGAUGACACAGUCGCGCAGGCACAGGUAAAUCCAAACGCACUGACCCGUGCUGGCUCAGUCCUCAUAGCCGGCUCAUACAACUGCCGUACAUGCUGUACGCAUGGGCCCCUUUGCUACCUGUGAUGAUGUGCAUUUACGGUAUGGCGCGAACCCUGGCGCGUGCCAAAGGAGCAAUAACUAUCACAAUCGCGUUCGCACGCCACCUUUGGCUGCUAUCGAAAAUGGAGGUCACCGAUCCUACAUCACAGCACCAACCAACGCGCCCGCCACCCCAGUCCUCCGUAACACUGUCUAGGCUCAGUCCUCAUUCUGCGCUGGCAACCUGAAGUCCUUAGUCUAGUUGCCAAUCUGAUUUACGAAGCAGUCAAGCACGUCGCCGUCUUGCAAGCCCGGCAGCUCAUCGGCGGUCAUGUCAUCCCGCACGCGGCAUUCGUUGAACACGAAGCGGUGGUUGGCGAUGUCCAGGCCCUGCCUGCUGCAGUAGGCCUCAAAGACUCUGCCCAUACGUGUUGAUUGCUUCACCUCAAAGCGCACCGCCGAGCCGCUCUGAUCUUUGAUAAUGAUUUUGAUCGCGCCACCGGCCCACUGCCCCGCCGGCGCCUCCGCCUGUCCCCCGUUGCCGCCGCCUGCUGGCGCCGGCUGCGACAGUGCUGAGGGUGCGGCAGCCGGGCUGCCAGCCUGCUUACCCGUUGCCGGCGCCCUGCCAUGGCGGCCCCGCUUCACCGCGGGUGCCUCGUCCCCUGCCGCAGUCCGGUUGUCCUCCCGCUGCCGCCUUGCCGCCGCCGACACACCUGCUGCACCUCCGUUGGCUGCUGCUGCUCCUGCGUCGUGGCGUGCCGUGGCACCGGCAGGCGCCUGCUGCUCCCGCUCCUUGCUGCUGCUGCCGCCGCUGGUGCCAAAUGGCUUCUUUGUAGCAGUGCCAGUGAGCGCCGGCGCAGGAGCAUCUUGCCUGCUGUUCUGCUGCUGCUGCUGCUGCAGCCGCAGCGAUGUCCGGCGUUGCUGCCCGGUGGCGUCGCUGGGCGGUGCUUGGCUAGCGCCCUGAGGUCCCUCAGCAGCGCCGUUCGCAACAGCAGCCCAGCCUCGCCCCGCCGCCUUCUGUGCCUGCGCGCCGCUGCGCCCCGCCGCUGCCGCCGUGGCCGCCGGCUUCUGAUCUCCCUCCCCCGCGUCCGUCACUAGACUAGCCUCCUCCCGCUGCCGCCUAGCCGCUAGUUCCUGCUGCGCCCGCGGCUGCGCCUGCUCCACGCGGACGCCGCCGUUGAUGGACACCGGGUGAGUGGCAUCAAAGCGCUCCAUCAGCGCGCACGUCAGCAGCGCAGGCCUGCAGAGGGGGCGAAAGCCAGACGUCAGCAGUUACGCAGCAACAACGCAACUGUAAGCAUAAUGUAAGCUACUCAGAGGCCGUAGGUCGGCCACUGCGGUUGCACAUGGCACGUACAGAGGCGCCUACCUGCUUGCGGCGCCGCCCUCUCCAGCCGCCGCUGCCGCUGCCGGCAGCUGCUCCGCCGCCCCCUGGGUGAUGGCGGCUGGGUCCACAAAUGCGUUGGGCCGGAAGCACAGCUCAUAUGCCAGGCUCACACGGCCGCCGCCGGCAGUAGCAGCUGAUCCGUCAGCACUGCCACCGCCAGCUACAGCCACAGGCCGCACGCGGUGCAGUGCCGGCUGUAGCAGCCCGCCCAGGGCGUACGACAGGCUGUAGCCGCACAGCACCGCCACGCGGCCAGGGCCCAGCGGCACGUCCACCCACGCACCAGCCCCAGCGCCUGCCCCCUGUCCCUGCUGUGGCAGCUGCACCUGCAGCCCCUGCUCCUGCGCGCUGGCCACCAGCGUGAGCACGCCGCGGUCGUGGUGCGGCGCGAAGGCCAGCAGCUGUGCGGCGUGCGGGUCGGGGCUGUAGCGGGCGCAGCGCAGCAGGCUGGCGCUGGCCUGGCCCAGCAGCGGCGCGUCAUCCAGCAGGCCCAGCACACGGCCUGAGUGGACGUCCAGGCCGGGGCUGCGACACAGCGCGCACAGCAGGCCGCGACACAGCCGGUCGGCGCGGGAGGAGGCCUGCGUGCAGUAAGGGACAACGAGGGAUGAGGGGGCACGUACAAAGCCCAGAGCUGCAGCGACUAGUCCUAACGUAGUGGUCUUCCGAUGCGUGCUACGGGCAGGCGAAGGGGCCGCAAGCUCACCUUCUGCAAAGCGGCGUGCUGCGUGCGAGAGCGGCCCGAGCCCCACGCGGGGGCGCCGAGCCGGACUGCGAGCAGCUCCUUGCCCGGCCGGACUGCGUAGCCCUCGCCCGGCACGGCGCUCUGGGCGCCUUGCUUCACAGACUCAUCAGCACCAAAGAAGACGGCGCAGGUCUCCAGCGCGCUUGCGAAAGCCGAGAACUCUUCAUCAUCGACCAGCUCCAGCACCGCGACACCCUGUUGCUGCAACCGAGUCCAUAGUUCAUUACAGAAUCUGGUAUAGGCGCUAGCCCUGUCGGCAUCGGGCACAAGCUCGUCGAAGGAAAGCAGCUGUUGGCGCACAUUUAGUGUGGCGAGCAGCUGAGCCAUGCUUCCGCGUGUAUUCAUGUAUUGCACACGAUGCAUAUAUAAGAUACAACAAUUUAUACAGAUAAGCUAACCGGUUGCUUGGUGAGUUCCGAUCUCGGCGGAGAAACUCGACUGACACGACCCCACCCCCGACAAGCGCAGACCUUCCCUUGCCCUCUCCUCCUAUCUCCCUUGCCUCCCUGCGUCUAAUCACUCUCAGCAGCCUCCGUCCAUAUGCUUAGUUACUGUGCCAUUUCUAUGCAAUCCAGUCCUCCGAGCAUGCACACCGCUUCCCCCCUGUCCUUUGCACCUCGAAUGGCCCAGUCCCGGCCUACGCCUGAUUUAGAAGUUGCUCUGUCCGUGGUCUUUAAAGUGCUUGCGUUAUUUGCUCUACUACUCAUACACCCUCAGCACAUAACAGCGCCUGGACCACAUACGUGGGAUUCAAAGUGCUCCCUCAGUCCUCCAUGCGCUACAUGCUCCUUCCCAUUCCGUGACUGCCAUACUAUCUUGCGCAAAGCUACAUCAGCGAUGGCAACAUGACGUCGUAAGUUUAGUUGCCUGCCUGCCCGAUGAUGCAAUCAAUGACGUCACCGUCUUCCACCAUUGGCAGCACGUCGCCUGGUUUCAUCCCCAGCUGACCGACCGUGAUGUGAUCCCGCACGUGGCUGCCGUCAUACAGGAAGCGGCAGCUGUGGUUGUCCAUGCCCUUCGCGCAAUAGUAGGCGUCGAAGACUUUCCCCACACGUGUUGACCGCUUCACCUGGAAGUGCACCUCCGAGCCAGACUGAUCUUUGACGAUGAUGUUGAUCCUGUCGUCGCCAUUCUCCCCGGCCGCCGCCUCCGCCUGUCCCCCGUGGCCGCCGCCGCCUGCUGGCGCCGGCUGCGACAAUGCAGUGGGCGCGGCGGCCGGGCUGCCAGCCUGCUCAUCCGCCGCCUCAGGCCCGCCGUCAUGGCGGCCCCGCUUCACAGCGGGUGCCUCGUCCCUUGCCGCUGUCCCGUUCUCCUCACGCUGCCGCCUAGCCGCAACCGCCGCCGCCGCCGGUGUGUUGGCCCCCGGAUCCUGCUUCACGCGGACGCCGCCGUUGAUGGACACCGGGUGAGUGGCCUCAAAGCGCUCCAUCAGCGCGGACGUCAGCAGCGCAGGCCUGGGGAGGGGACGGGAACCAGACGUCAGCAGUUACGCAGCACCAACGCAACUGUACGGUAAGCAUAAUGUAAGCUACUCAGCGGUUUCAAGCUGACCGCUGCCAUUGCACAUGGCGCGUACACAGGCGCCCACCUGCUUGCGGCACCGCCCUCUCCAGCCGCCGCUGCCGCUGCCGGCAGCUGCUCCGCCGCCCCCUGGGUGAUGGCGGCUGGGUCCACACACGGGUUGGGCCGGAAGCACAGCUCAUAUGCCAGGCUCACACGGCCGCCGCCGGCAGUAGCAGCUGAUCCGCCAGCCGCACCGCCACAGCCAGCUACAGCCACAGGCCGCACGCGGUGCAGUGCCGGCUGUAGCAGCCCGCCCAGGGCGUACGACAGGCUGUAGCCGCACAGCACCGCCACGCGGCCGGGGCCCAGCGGCACGUCCACCCACGCACCAGCCGCAGCGCCCGCCCCCUGUCCCUGCUGUGGCAGCCGCACCUGCAGCCCCUGCUCCUGCGCGCUGGCCACCAGCGUGAGCACGCCGCGGUCGUGGUGCGGCGCGAAGGCCAGCAGCUGUGCGGCGUGCGGGUCGGGGCUGUAGCGGGCGCAGCGCAGCAGGCUGGCGCUGGCCUGGCCCAGCAGCGGCGCGUCAUCCAGCAGGCCCAGCACACGGCCCGAGUGGACGUCCAGGCCGGGGCUGCGACACAGCGCGCACAGCAGGCCGCGACACAGCCGGUCGGCGCGGGAAGAGGCCUGCGUGCAGGCAGGGACAACGACGGAUGAGGGGGCACGUUCAGAGCCCAGAGCUGCAGCGACUAGUCCUGGCGUAGUGGUCUUCCGAUGCGUGCUACUGGCAAGCGAAGGGGCCGCAAGCUCACCUUUUGCAACGCCGCGUGCUGCGUGCGAGAGCGGCCCGAGCCCCACGCGGGCGCGCCGGGCCGGACUGCGAGCAGCUCCUUGCCCGGCCGAACUGCGUAUCCCUCGCCCGGCACGGCGCUCUGGGCGCCUUGCUUCACAGACUCAUCAGCACUAAAGAAGACGGCACAGGUCUCCAGCGCGCUUCCGAAAGCUGAGAACUCAUCAUCAGUGACCAGCUCCAGCACCGCGACACCCUGUUGCUGCAACCGAGUCCAUAGUUCAUCACAUAAUCUGGCAUAGGCGCUAGCCCUGUCGGCAUCGGGCACAAGCUCGCCGAGGAAAAGAAGCUGUCUUUGCACCGACAGCGGUGCCAGUAGUUGUGGUGUCAUUCUGUUUUACAGCAAAAUUGCCUUCAUAAGCAGAUAUGCAAAAUGCAAUACACAAGGAGCACACUUGAAAUGAUGCAAACUUGGAGUUGGACUGAUGUUCGUCCAUCACACGGUCGGACACCCCCCCCCGCCCUUUCCUCCGCCUCCAACUGCGUCCUUGCGUCAGAUUACUCUUCCACUCCCGACCCGGUGCCAAGAGUUGCAGUGUCAUAUUGCUCUACAGCGUAAUCGCCUUCAGAGGCGGAUAUGAAAAUGCAAUGCAUAAGGAUGCGGAUGUUACAGAGGGGACAGUCCCGGCACCCAAAGACGCCGAGCCAUCACAUGCAUAAGGACUCCUAUGCCUCCCACCCUGCUUUUCCCCGGUUCCUCCUCGCCUCGCAUCAGCUACCCAUACUUCUUGCCACGUUUCGAGCAAGAUAAUUAAUGUCAGGAUACUGUGCGUACCUGUCAACUUGUUGCUUGUGCCAGUCCCUUGCGAUGCAACCAUACGAGCUUCCAUCUUGUCCCCGCAGUCAACCUAGCUCCCGCCCAAGCUCCCGCCCAAGCUCCUGCCCAACAUCUCACGCUCUGUACACACUCGUUUGUUGGCGCUACCUAUUGUUCCUCGGCAUCCAGCAGCGCCUGGAUCACAGACGCCGGACUCAACCGGCCCAACUGCCCUUGUCCGCCAGGCAGCCCAGGCGGCCGCCUCCGCCGCACCCGUCGCGGCCGCUCGCUCGCCUCCAGCGGCUGCGCCCCCGGCGCCCGCGGCGGCGGCGGCGCGGGGCUGGGCGGCGGCGCGGGCGGCGGCGGCAGUGCGGCCCACAGCAUGGACUCAUCCAGCAGCCCGGUGUCGGCCAGCUGGGAGGCCACGAAGCCCGACAUGCGGCCCGGACCAAACAGCGCCGCAUACUCGUGCAGCGCCCGCACCGCAUAGCGCACCUGGGGGGCAGGCGAUUGUCACCUUGUGUUGUCAGAAAGACAUAACAAUGCAAUCACGUGUUGAAGGGCGCGGUGGGGCGUAGGGUAGCAACGCGACGGCAUUACUGCGAGAACGAGCAGGACUGGGCAAUGGGUGGGCUCAAAGGCGGUGCGGACAUCUCGGGGAGGAGGGACAGCAGGCACAGAGCUACGCGUGUCUGCCUAUCCGCCGGCAGACCGCCGGACUGCCCACCCGCCUCUGCUGCAGCAGUCGCACCUUGCCCUCGGUGGUGAGGAAGCGCGCCACGAAGUGUUGUGAGGCGUUGACCAGCAGCCGCAGCUCGCCGUCACGUGCCGGGUCCUGUGUGCGUACAGUGCGUGUGUGUGCACAUGGGGAGUUUUGUGCGUGGGGUUGGAGCAGGUGGUGGAGUCAGGCAGGGUGUCCAUUGGUUGGGCGCCUGGGGUUCUGGCGCCGGCAGCGGGGGCGCGGCACGAGUUGGCCAGGCAAAAUGCGCGCUCUUGAUGUGGAGCAACGCACGAACCGGCAUACACACACAUUCAUGUCACAAUGUACUCGAGACCACAUGGGCGGAUGGGCCCACAGCGCCACGGGCACCACGCACGCGCGCUCAGCACGGUAAGCACGCUCAGCACGCGCGCACGCAUCCACGCACGUACACACGCUAAGCACGCAGUAGGCUCACGUUGUAUGCCUGCAGCAGGCUCAGCAGGUUGCUGGUGUUGUAGGUGAGGACGUGGGUGCCGGGC
rnacentral:lncRNA from 1 species